GGCUACCGUCGGAAUGCAACUGACUUCUUCCUCAAGGAGGAAGAAUGGCAAGUCAGCAUUAAUAUAUCCUCGGAUGAUUUUUCUGAAAAAGGGUCAGUGAUUGUAGGGUGUGUGUACAAGGAUCUUCAUGAAUUACUGCUGAGAAAUCAAUCAACUGGGGAAGAACCUAACACUUCUAGGUAUGUUAACACCAGAAUAAUGACGGCAGCGAUGAAUCCUAAACCUGAAAAAUUACGACGAGGUGUAAU